rnacentral:rRNA from 1 species
UACGUAGGUCCCGAGCGUUGUCCGGAUUUAUUGGGCGUAAAGCGAGCGCAGGUGGUUUAUUAAGUCUGGUGUAAAAGGCAGUGGCUCAACCAUUGUAUGCAUUGGAAACUGGUAGACUUGAGUGCAGGAGAGGAGAGUGGAAUUCCAUGUGUAGCGGUGAAAUGCGUAGAUAUAUGGAGGAACACCGGUGGCGAAAGCGGCUCUCUGGCCUGUAACUGACACUGAGGCUCGAAAGAGUGGGGAGCAAACAGG